rnacentral:rRNA from 1 species
UAGGGAAUUUUCGGCAAUGGGCGAAAGCCUGACCGAGCAACGCCGCGUGAAGGAAGAAGGAAUUCGUUUUGUAAACUUCUGUCAUAGAGGAAGAACGGUCUGAUCAGGGAAUGGGUCAUAAGUGACGGUACUCUAUAAGAAAGCCACGGCUAACUACGUGCCAGCAGCCGCGGUAAUACGUAGGUGGCGAGCGUUAUCCGGAAUUAUUGGGCGUAAAGAGGGAGCAGGCGGCACUAAAGGUCUGUGGUGAAAGCCCGAAGCUUAACUUCGGUAAGCCAUGGAAACCGUAGAGCUAGAGUGUGUGAGAGGAUCGUGGAAUUCCAUGUGUAGCGGUGAAAUGCGUAGAUAUAUGGAGGAACACCAGUGGCGAAGGCGACGAUCUGGCGCACAACUGACGCUCAGUCCCGAAAGCGUGGGGAGCAAAUAGG